rnacentral:rRNA from 1 species
UGCAACUCGACUGCGUGAAGUCGGAAUCGCUAGUAAUCGCGGAUCAGCAUGCCGCGGUGAAUACGUUCCCGGGCCUUGUACACACCGCCCGUCACACCAUGAGAGUCGGGAACACCCGAAGCCCGUAGCCUAACAGCAAUGAGGGCGCGGUCGAAGGUGGGUUCGAUAAUUGGGGUGAAGUCGUAACAAGGUAUC